rnacentral:lncRNA from 1 species
GGCUGCUGUAUGUUUUAUGUAAAAUGUGGUUUAUUGCACAUACUGUGGUUUUUUAACUUUACUGGUAUUACUGGCACCUGUUCUCCAGGUGUUUCUGGAAGAAUCACGAUCUCUUGCAUUUGUGUGACUCUGCUGCUGAUGGGAGCGUCUGUCCUGUUAUUAUACAAAUUAGGAUACAUCAAGACACGAGAUCAGCACGCUUCCCCAGGCAGGACGGAGAUGAGCGAUGGAGAGGCCUCUCAUGCAGCAUGUGACUAUGAGAAUAUCAGAGAUGCCAGACUGCGCUCAGUCCCGGGAACUGAGGAAACGGUGUUAUAUUCCACUGUCACGCAUCCCACAGACUCGUCUGAUCCACACGACACGCUGUAUUCUACAGUACAGUUACCCACAAGCCCCUCUGAUGGGCUCCUGUACGCUUCGGUCCAUUUCCAGAAGCAUGAAGAGUCUCUCAGUGAUGCUAACGUAACCUUCAAUAAUGAGGAGAUUUACUGUGAUUACUCCACGGUCAUUCCCCACACGUCACUCAAGUAGUUUAGUUUUUUUUUUUUUUUUUUUUUUUUUAGUGGUUCCAAAAAAACCUUUUUUUUUUCCCCGCCUUUUUUUAAAAAUCCC